UUUGUCAUUCCUAUGAAAGCUCUGGCCAUAGGGCGAUAGCUCCAUGUACUCAUUCAUUUUCUGACAACCAGAGCAGCCUCAAAAUGUCUUCUUCCAUUUGCUUUUAGAUUCCCAAUCUGCUUCAUCCAGACAUAUGCCUUUCAGCUUUCUCUGGGUAGAUUGAGGGUGGGGGUGGGGUAUACAAUUCACCACUUCCUGAUCAGUUGUGGUUCUCUCUCACUUCUCCCUCCCAACUGAAGGGGAUCCAUCAAGAUAAUUUCCCAUCAUUAGAUGUGAAGUGUUUUGAAUUUGAAAUGCCUUUUCACUUAGAAAAAAAUUGAUGCCUAUAACGUGUAAUGCACUCACAGUUUGCGAUAUUGCCUGACAGCUCAAAGUACAUUACUGGUAGCUAAUCCUGGCAGCUGAGAUCCAUUAAAAGGACAUGGAGCUAACAGCACUGUUGUAAACAGACCUCAUGAGCUGAAUUCGCCUGGAGGGGUGCCAUUUGCUCAUCCAGUCUUGUAACAUUUGUCAUACUAAAGCUAUGCCUUACCCCAUCCAUCAAAAGGAAGAUGCAGAGGGUGUGCCACUUAUGGAUCAAUGUCUUAGCUUGUACCUAGCUAUGUAUCUUAUCCUCUUGCACACUUGCUGUACCUUGUAAUUGUGUCUUGCUGUCAGGGACCGGCUGGACAAAAAGGAGUGGUGGGAGGCACCAGCCAGGGAUCUCCCAAGGGAAACCCCGAAGAGGAAGACUCAGAGCUAGGGAAUUGGUGCUGCUGGAUGCUGAAGAGGCUACAGGGUUUAGUGAGCAGGAAGAGCCUGUGACAGGGAGCAGUUCAGUCUCCGAGACUGAAGCAUGAUGUGUGUGUGUGUGUGUGUGUGUGUGUAGAAACUGCUGAAGAAUUCAGGGAAUCUCCCUCUCCUGCUGCAACAAGCUCCCCUCCCCCUUGCUCUCCAUAAAUGCCCAGAAUAAGAAGAGCAGGCCAGGAGUGCACAUAUGCAGUUUGAGACUGCUUGGGAAACAUCCAGGAGAGGAGGAGCCUUAGAAAGGAUGGAAGGCAAAAACCUUCAGUCCUGGCAACUGCUCCAUAGGGGCAAGACCUGCUGGGAAGUGUUGCUGAGUUGUAUGUAGUUUCCUUGAAUAAAGAGUUAACUUCACUGACAA